UACGAAGGGGGGCUAGCGUUGUUCGGAAUUACUGGGCGUAAAGCGCACGUAGGCGGGUUGUUAAGUCAGGGGUGAAAUCCUGGAGCUCAACUCCAGAACUGCCUUUGAUACUGGCAACCUAGAGACUGGAAGAGGUUAGUGGAAUUCCCAGUGUAGAGGUGAAAUUCGUAGAUAUUGGGAAGAACACCAGUGGCGAAGGCGGCGCACUGGACCACAACUGACGCUGAGGCGCGAAAGCUAGGGGAGCAAACAGGG
rnacentral:rRNA from 1 species